rnacentral:rRNA from 1 species
UACGGAGGGGGCAAGCGUUGUUCGGAAUCAUUGGGCGUAAAGGGCGCGUAGGCGGCCGAUCAAGUCGGGUGUGAAAUCCCUCGGCUCAACCGAGGAACUGCACUCGAUACUGAUUGGCUCGAGUCCGGGAGGGGAUGGUGGAAUUCCCAGUGUAGCGGUGAAAUGCGUAGAUAUCUGGAGGAACACCGGUGGCGAAGGCGGCAUCCUGGACCAACACUGACGCUGAGUGAGCGAAAGCCAGGGGAGCCAAACGGG